AGGAUUAACGCUGGCGGCGUGCCUAACACAUGCAAGUCGAACGAGGUAGCAAUACCUAGUGGCAGACGGGUGAGUAACGCGUGGUCAACCUGCCCUUGAGCGGGGGAUAACUAGCCGAAAGGUUAGCUAAUACCGCAUACGUCUAGGAUGGCAUCAUCCAAAGAUAAAAGCCGCAAGGCACUCGAGGAGGGGACCGCGUCCCAUUAGUUAGUUGGUGGGGUAACGGCCUACCAAGACUCCGAUGGGUAGCUGGUUUGAGAGAGCGACCAGCCACACUGGGACUGAGAAACGGCCCAGACUCCUACGGGAGGCAGCAGUGAGGAAUUUUCCGCAAUGGGCGAAAGCCUGACGGAGCGACGCCGCGUGUGGGAAGAAGGCCUUCGGGUCGUAAACCACUGUCGAAGGGGACGAUAUUGACGAUACCCUUGGAGGAAGCCCCGGCUAACUACGCGCCAGCAGCCGC
rnacentral:rRNA from 1 species